CCUACGGGGGGCAGCAGUGAGGAAUAUUGGUCAAUGGACGAGAGUCUGAACCAGCCAAGUAGCGUGAAGGAUGACUGCCCUCUGGGUUGUAAACUUCUUUUAUAUGGGAAUAAAAUGUUCCACGUGUGGGAUUUUGUAUGUACCAUAUGAAUAAGGAUCGGCUAACUCCGUGCCAGCAGCCGCGGUAAUACGGAGGAUCCGAGCGUUAUCCGGAUUUAUUGGGUUUAAAGGGAGCGUAGGUGGAUGGUUAAGUCAGUUGUGAAAGUUUGCGGCUCAACCGUAAAAUUGCAGUUGAAACUGGCAGUCUUGAGUACAGUAGAGGUGGGCGGAAUUCGUGGUGUAGCGGUGAAAUGCUUAGAUAUCACGAAGAACUCCGAUUGCGAAGGCAGUUCACUGGACUGCAACUGACACUGAGGCUCGAAAGUGUGGGUAUCAAACAGGAUUAGAUACCCUUGUAGUC
rnacentral:rRNA from 1 species